rnacentral:rRNA from 1 species
AGAGCGAAUGGUGGAUGCCUUGACUGGUAAAGGCGAUGAAGGACGUACUAGACUGCGAUAAGCUACGGGGAGCUGUCAAGAAGCUUUGAUCCGUAGAUUUCCGAAUGGGGCAACCCAAUGUAUAGAGAUAUACAUUACCUAUAUAGGAGCGAACGAGGGGAAUUGAAACAUCUUAGUACCCUCAGGAAAAGAAAUCAAUAGAGAUUGCGUCAGUAGCGGCGAGCGAAAGCGCAAGAGGGCAAACCCAGUGCUUGCACUGGGGGUUGUAGGACUGCAAUGUGCAAGAGGUGAGUUUAGCAGAACAUUCUGGAAAGUAUAGCCAUAGAGGGUGAUAGUCCCGUAUGCGAAAAACAAACCUUAGCUAGCAGUAUCCUGAGUAGGGCGGGACACGAGAAAUCCUGUCUGAAGCUGGGUCGACCACGAUCCAACCCUAAAUACUAAUACCAGAUCGAUAGUGCACAAGUACCGUGAGGGAAAGGUGAAAAGAACUGAGGUGAUCAGAGUGAAAUAGAACCUGAAACCAUUUGCUUACAAUCAUUCAGAGCACUAUGUAGCAAUACAGUGUGAUGGACUGCCUUUUGCAUAAUGAGCCUGCGAGUUGUGGUGUCUGGCAAGGUUAAGCAAACGCGAAGCCGUAGCGAAAGCGAGUCUGAAUAGGGCGCUUAGUCAGAUGCUGCAGACCCGAAACGAAGUGAUCUAUCCAUGAGCAAGUUGAAGCUAGUGUAAGAACUAGUGGAGGACUGAACCCAUAGGCGUUGAAAAGCCCCGGGAUGACUUGUGGAUAGGGGUGAAAGGCCAAUCAAACUUCGUGAUAGCUGGUUCUCUCCGAAAUAUAUUUAGGUAUAGCGUUGUGUCGUAAUAUAAGGGGGUAGAGCACUGAAUGGGCUAGGGCAUACACCAAUGUACCAAACCCUAUCAAACUCCGAAUACCUUAUAUGUAAUCACAGCAGUCAGGCGGCGAGUGAUAAAAUCCGUCGUCAAGAGGGAAACAACCCAGACUACCAGCUAAGGUCCCUAAAUCUUACUUAAGUGGAAAACGAUGUGAAGUUACUUAAACAACCAGGAGGUUGGCUUAGAAGCAGCCAUCCUUUAAAGAAAGCGUAAUAGCUCACUGGUCUAGUGAUUUUGCGCGGAAAAUAUAACGGGGCUAAAGUAAGUACCGAAGCUGUAGACUUGACUUUGUCAAGUGGUAGGAGAGCGUUCUAUUUGCGUCGAAGGUAUACCGGUAAGGAGUGCUGGAGCGAAUAGAAGUGAGCAUGCAGGCAUGAGUAGCGAUAAUUAAUGUGAGAAUCAUUAACGCCGUAAACCCAAGGUUUCCUACGCGAUGCUCGUCAUCGUAGGGUUAGUCGGGUCCUAAGUCGAGUCCGAAAGGGGUAGACGAUGGCAAAUUGGUUAAUAUUCCAAUACCAACAUUAGUGUGCGAUGGAAGGACGCUUAGGGCUAAGGGGGCUAGCGGAUGGAAGUGCUAGUCUAAGGUCGUAGGUGCUUAUACAGGCAAAUCCGUAUAAGAAUACACCGAGAACUGAAAGGCUUUUUGAAGUCUUCGGAUGGAUAGAAGAACCCCUGAUGCCGUCGAGCCAAGAAAAGUUUCUAAGUUUAGCUAAUGUUGCCCGUACCGUAAACCGACACAGGUGGGUGGGAUGAGUAUUCUAAGGCGCGUGGAAGAACUCUCUUUAAGGAACUCUGCAAAAUAGCACCGUAUCUUCGGUAUAAGGUGUGGUUCGCUUCGUAUUAGGAUUUACUCCGAAAGCGAAGAAACUUACAACAAAGAGUCCCUCCCGACUGUUUACCAAAAACACAGCACUCUGCUAACUCGUAAGAGGAUGUAUAGGGUGUGACGCCUGCCCGGUGCUCGAAGGUUAAUUGAUGGGGUUAGCAUUAGCGAAGCUCUUGAUCGAAGCCCGAGUAAACGGCGGCCGUAACUAUAACGGUCCUAAGGUAGCGAAAUUCCUUGUCGGUUAAAUACCGACCUGCAUGAAUGGCGUAACGAGAUGGGAGCUGUCUCAAAGAGGGAUCCAGUGAAAUUGUAGUGGAGGUGAAAAUUCCUCCUACCCGCGGCAAGACGGAAAGACCCCGUGGACCUUUACUACAGCUUGACACUGCUACUUGGAUAAGAAUGUGCAGGAUAGGUGGGAGGCUUUGAGUAUAUGACGCCAGUUGUAUAUGAGCCAUUGUUGAGAUACCACUCUUUCUUAUUUGGGUAGCUAACCAGCUUGAGUUAUCCUCAAGUGGGACAAUGUCUGGUGGGUAGUUUGACUGGGGCGGUCGCCUCCCAAAUAAUAACGGAGGCUUACAAAGGUUGGCUCAGAACGGUUGGAAAUCGUUCGUAGAGUAUAAAGGUAUAAGCCAGCUUAACUGCAAGACAUACAAGUCAAGCAGAGACGAAAGUCGGUCUUAGUGAUCCGGUGGUUCUGUGUGGAAGGGCCAUCGCUCAAAGGAUAAAAGGUACCCCGGGGAUAACAGGCUGAUCUCCCCCAAGAGCUCACAUCGACGGGGAGGUUUGGCACCUCGAUGUCGGCUCAUCGCAUCCUGGGGCUGGAGCAGGUCCCAAGGGUAUGGCUGUUCGCCAUUUAAAGCGGGACGCGGGCUGGGUUCAGAACGUCGUGAGACAGUUCGGUCCCUAUCUGCCGUGGGCGUAAGAAGAUUGAAGAGAUUUGACCCUAGUACGAGAGGACCGGGUUGAACAAACCACUGGUGUAGCUGUUGUUCUGCCAAGAGCAUCGCAGCGUAGCUAAGUUUGGAAAGGAUAAACGCUGAAAGCAUCUAAGCGUGAAGCCAACUCUAAGAUGAAUCUUCUCUAAGCUCUCUAGAAGACUACUAGUUUGAUAGGCUGGGUGUGUAAUGGAUGAAAGUCCUUUAGCUGACCAGUACUAAUAGAGCGUUUGGCUUAUCU